rnacentral:rRNA from 1 species
UGGUCUGUUCGCCCAUUAAAGUGGCACGCGAUCUGGGUUCAGAACGUCGUGAGACAGUUCGGUUUAUAUCCGGUAUGGACGUCAGGAAAUUUGAGAGGAUCUGCCCCUAGUACGAGAGGACCGGGGUGGACGUACCUCUGGUGUAUCGAUUGUGGCCACCUGCUGCAUUGUCGAGUAGCUAUGUACGGACUAGAUAAGCGCUGAAAGCAUAUUAAGCGCGAAACUAACCUCAAGAUUAGAUUUCCCUAUGAGGACACAGAGAGACUAUCUGUUUGAUAGGUGCAAGGUGGAAGUGCAGCAAUGUAUGGAGCCGAAGCAUACUAAUAGUCCCAUUGCCUUUUUAUG